rnacentral:piRNA from 1 species
UAUAACUAUGGGAUCGAUGUU